CCGUYAKACGGUYGYAGAGAUAGURSCUUUCCUUCGGGACAKWSRAGACAGGUGGUGCAUGGUUGUCGUCAGCUCGUGUCGUGAGAUGUUGGGUUAAGUCCCGCAACGAGCGCAACCCUUGAUCUUAGUUGCCAGCACUUCGGGUGGGCACUCUAAGGUGACUGCCGGUGACAAACCGGAGGAAGGUGGGGAUGACGUCAAAUCAUCAUGCCCCUUAUGACCUGGGCUACACACGUACUACAAUGGCCGGUACAACGGGCWGUGAAGCCGCGAGGUGGAACGAAUCCUAAAAAGCCGGUCUCAGUUCGGAUUGCAGGCUGCAACUCGCCUGCAUGAAGUCGGAAUUGCUAGUAAUCGCGGAUCAGCAUGCCGCGGUGAAUACGUUCCCGGGUCUUGUACACACCGA
rnacentral:rRNA from 1 species